GGACUGAAAUUUCAUAUGCGACUGAUUUCACAGUGAAACACAAUGAGAUUCAUAUUUGCGAUUGUUCUUCUAUUGGCAGCUGUUGUCUUUGCCAUCCCAAAAUGUGGUUUGAACGAACGAUUUUAUUACUGUAAACCAUGUAGGUCAGUACCCUGCGGUGAAGUAAUGCCCGAUUAUUGCAUUGAUGUGUGUGUUGAGCUACCUGGUUGCUACUGCAAAGAUGGCUUCUUCGAGAAAGAUGGAGGAUGUGUUGCACCAGAAGACUGCUGAAGAACUUCUAUCACUGAAUGGGGCUUUGUAGUGGGCUAUAGCAAAUAUGUUAAAUACUGAAGAAGGUAUAUGUGCCUCCAAAUAAAAUAUUAAUGUGA